rnacentral:rRNA from 1 species
GUGGGGAAUAUUGGACAAUGGGCGAAAGCCUGAUCCAGCAAUGCCGCGUGAGUGAUGAAGGCCCUAGGGUUGUAAAGCUCUUUUACCCGGGAUGAUAAUGACAGUACCGGGAGAAUAAGCCCCGGCUAACUCCGUGCCAGCAGCCGCGGUAAUACGGAGGGGGCUAGCGUUGUUCGGAAUUACUGGGCGUAAAGCGCGCGUAGGCGGCUUUGUAAGUUAGAGGUGAAAGCCCGGGGCUCAACCCCGGAACUGCCUUUAAGACUGCAUCGCUUGAAUCCGGGAGAGGUGAGUGGAAUUCCGAGUGUAGAGGUGAAAUUCGUAGAUAUUCGGAAGAACACCAGUGGCGAAGGCGGCCACCUGGACCGGUAUUGACGCUGAGGUGCGAAAGCGUGGGGAGCAAACAGGAUUAGAAACCCUAGUAGUCC